rnacentral:rRNA from 1 species
CCUACGGGAGGCAGCAGUGGGGAAUAUUGCGCAAUGGGCGAAAGCCUGACGCAGCGACGCCGCGUGAGGGAUGAAGGUCUUCGGAUCGUAAACCUCUGUCAGCAGGGAAGAACGGUCACUGUGCUAAUCAGCAGUGAAUUGACGGUACCUGCAAAGGAAGCACCGGCUAACUCCGUGCCAGCAGCCGCGGUAAUACGGAGGGUGCGAGCGUUAAUCGGAAUUACUGGGCGUAAAGCGCUCGUAGGCGGUAUGUCAAGUCAAGGGUGAAAUCCCCGCGCUCAACGUGGGAAUUGCCUUUGAAACUGGCGAGCUGGAGUGUGUGAGAGGAAAGUGGAAUUCCAGGUGUAGGAGUGAAAUCCGUAGAUAUCGGGAAGAACAUCAGUGGCGAAGGCGACUAUCUGGCUCAUAACUGACGCUGAGGAGCGAAAGCGUGGGUAUCAAACAGGAUUAGAUACCCGAGUAGUC